CAUUAGUGUUUGUGUCAUUCAACAAUUUCUAAUCAUCUUAUCACAUUUGUUUGUUAAAUUACAAGAUGUGGUGGGUCAUGUGAAGGGAAUGCAACGCUUAGAACCAAAACAGGUCAAUGAAAAAGUUGUGCACAGAUGUGACAUCGUUGUUGAAAAUCUGAGUUAGAAGAGGCAAAAUUUACACUUUGGGGAAAUGUUGCAAAGAACUUUUCUUCUCUGUCGCUAGAAGCUUUGUUGCUGCGGGUUAGUGCUGUUUUUACAAGUUUGGAAGUGAAGUUGUACCGGGGUAUUUAAUAUCAAAAAAUAAUAAUCAGUUUUACAUCAUUCUCUAAUAAAUUUAUUAUACAGUUUGUCUUAAA